rnacentral:tRNA from 1 species
GGCCCCUUAGCUCAACUGGACAGAGCAACGGUUUUCUACACCGUAGGUUGAGGGUUCGAAUCCUUCAGGGGCUACCA